UACGGAGGGGGCUAGCGUUGUCCGAAGUUACUGGGCGUAAAGGGCGCGUAGGCGGCCUGUUAGGUCGAACGUGAAAUCCCCGGGCUCAACCCGGGAACUGCGUCCGAUACUGGCAGGCUUGAAUCCGGGAGAGGGAUGCGGAAUUCCAGGUGUAGCGGUGAAAUGCGUAGAUAUCUGGAGGAACACCGGUGGCGAAGGCGGCAUCCUGGACCGGCAUUGACGCUGAGGCGCGAAAGCCAGGGGAGCAAACGGG
rnacentral:rRNA from 1 species